rnacentral:rRNA from 1 species
AUUGAACGCUGGCGGCAUGCCUUACACAUGCAAGUCGAACGGCAGCACGGGUGCUUGCACCUGGUGGCGAGUGGCGAACGGGUGAGUAAUACAUCGGAACAUGUCCUGUAGUGGGGGAUAGCCCGGCGAAAGCCGGAUUAAUACCGCCUACGAUCCACGGAUGAAAGCGGGGGACCUUCGGGCCUCGCGCUAUAGGGUUGGCCGAUGGCUGAUUAGCUAGUUGGUGGGGUAAAGGCCUACCAAGACGACGAUCAGUAGCUGGUCUGAGAGGACGACCAGCCACACUGGGACUGAGACACGGCCCAGACUCCUACGGGAGGCAGCAGUGGGGAAUUUUGGACAAUGGGCGAAAGCCUGAUCCAGCAAUGCCGCGUGUGUGAAGAAGGACUUCGGGUUGUAAAGCACUUUUGUCCGGAAAGAAAUCCUUGACUCUAAUACAGUCGGGGGAUGACGGUACCGGAAGAAUAAGCACCGGCUAACUACGUG